rnacentral:rRNA from 1 species
UCCAGACUCCUACGGGAGGCAGCAGUGGGGAAUAUUGGACAAUGGGGGGAACCCUGAUCCAGCGACGCCGCGUGAGUGAAGAAGUAUUUCGGUAUGUAAAGCUCUAUCAGCAGGGAAGAAAGAAAUGACGGUACCUGACUAAGAAGCCCCGGCUAACUACGUGCCAGCAGCCGCGGUAAUACGUAGGGGGCAAGCGUUAUCCGGAUUUACUGGGUGUAAAGGGAGCGUAGACGGCGAUGCAAGUCUGAAGUGAAAGGCGGGGGCCCAACCCCCGGACUGCAUUUGGAACUGUGUGGCUGGAGUGUCGGAGAGGCAGGCGGAAUUCCUAGUGUAGCGGUGAAAUGCGUAGAUAUUAGGAGGAACACCAGUGGCGAAGGCGGCCUGCUGGACGAUGACUGACGUUGAGGCUCGAAAGCGUGGGGAGCAAACAGGAUUAGAUACCCCAGUAUG